AUUGAACGCUGGCGGCAUGCUUUACACAUGCAAGUCGAACGGUAACAGGGUGCUUGCACCGCUGACGAGUGGCGAACGGGUGAGUAAUGCGUCGGAACGUGCCGAGUAGUGGGGGAUAACGCAGCGAAAGUUGUGCUAAUACCGCAUACGUACUGAGGUAGAAAGUGGGGGACCUUCGGGCCUCACGCUAUUCGAGCGGCCGACGUCUGAUUAGCUAGUAGGUGAGGUAAAGGCUCACCUAGGCGACGAUCAGUAGCGGGUCUGAGAGGAUGGGCCGCCAGACGGGGACUGAGAAACGGCCCAGACUCCUACGGGAGGCAGCAGUGGGGAAUUUUGGACAAUGGGCGAAAGCCUGAUCCAGCCAUGCCGCGUGUCUGAAGAAGGCCUUCGGGUUGUAAAGGACUUUUGUCAGGGAGGAAAUCCCUAGUGCUAAUAACACUGGGGGAUGACAGUACCUGAAGAAUAAGCACCGGCUAACUACGUGCCAGCCGCCGCCGUAA
rnacentral:rRNA from 1 species